rnacentral:misc_RNA from 1 species
AUAUCUCAACACAGACAGUUUUUACUGGUUGUUGUUUGGAUGUUGAAGGCUUGCUGGCAGUCUGACUGUCAGCUCCUUUUAAAUGUAUUAGCAGAAAGCAUGCAGAACUGGCUUCAGUUUGAUAAAUGACUUUAUCGGUGUUGCUGUCGCCAGGAUAAUGCUAGUUCUUCAGCUUCUAAUGGUCCUUCUGGGACUGUCUCAUCUGAGGCAUACAAACUUGAC